rnacentral:rRNA from 1 species
CCUACGGGAGUCAGCAGUGGGGAAUAUUGGGCAAUGGGGGCAACUCUUACCCAGCAAUGCCGCGUGAAUGAAGAAGGUCUUCGGGUUGUAAACUUCUUUUAUUGGGGACGAAAAACGUGACGGUACCCUAGGAAUAAGCCCCGGCUAACUACGUGCCAGCAGCCGCGGUAAUACGUAGGGAGCGAGCGUUAUUCGGAUUUACUGGGCGUAAAGGGUGUGUAGGCGGUGUGGCAAGUCAGAGGUGAAAUACCUGGAGCUGAACUCAGGUGCUGCUUCUAAAACUGCCAUCCUUGAGUGAAGGAGAGGCAAGCGGAAUUCCUAGUGUAGCGGUGGAAUGCGUAGAUAUUAGGAGGAACAUCAGUGGCGAAGGCGACUUGCUGGACGGUAACUGACGCUGAGGCACGAAAGUGUGGGGAGCAAACAGGAUUAGAUACCCUGGUAGUC